CAGUAUUACAGAAAAGAUACCUCUGAAUUAUUUUUAUUCAUUAUAAAUGUAGCAUAUUUAUGAUACUAAAAUGGAAACGCUUUUUUUAAAAAAACAUUUUCCCCACUCUCUCCACCCAGAGAAAACGAUGAACAUUUUAGCAUAUUCCUGCAAGUCUUUUACAAUAUAGAUUUAGCUGAUUUGUGACGUACUAUAUAACAACUUGCAUCACAGAGAUUUCUUCUGCCUCAAGUUUAACAGCAAUUUUCUCCUAUUUAAAACAUUGUAAAAAUCAUGUUUAAUGAUUGCGUAGCACAACAUCAUAUGGACAUAUAUUUUGCUUAAACUUUUUUUCUUUUUGGAUAUUUAUGUUCUUUUAAAGUUUUUACCACUAAAUACACAGUAAUGUCUAUAUUUUGAAUUGAGAAAGCUACUUUUUAGGAUUAUAUGGAACUCAAAACCAAUUAAGAAACUACACUUCUAGAACCUACUGUGUGUUGUUCAUGUGUGUUUAUAUGAACUGAGGUGACAAGGAGAGUUCUUUUACCCUGGAGGACAGUUGGGAAAGAUUAAGAGAAAGAAGUACGUAAAAAUUACUCUUUUUUUUCCUUAUAACUGAUGCUCAUUACAGCUUUUUCAAAUUGCCAUAGACACAAAAUGCAGUACCAAUGCAUUUAAUUUAAUUAGUCAGGUGUUUUUUGUGUUUGUUUUGGGGGUUGUUGUUUUUUUUGUUUUGGAUUUGGUUUGUUUGUUUGUCUUGUUUUUGCUAUUAACCAGUAAAAGUUGUUCUUUACAGGCCAAAUGAGCAGCAGCCACUAGUGGUUGUGUUGAUGCUGCAAGUUUUCACUGAUUUUAAAAUGGACUGUAUUUGCUACAGAGAGCUCUGUAAGAUUUCUAAACACCAAGGAUUCUAUGGAGGGUCAUUGAAAAGUGUUAGAAAAAUUAGUGUCUAGAUGAGUCGUGAGUCAUUGCAUGAUCUCAUACAGGUGUGAAACAUCUCUGUCACUCUCUAGUACUAGAAGUGCAUUUACCAGUGCUCCUCAUCAAGCUUGGAAUGCUCUCUCUUCGUUUGCAUGUAUCCAAACCCAACACGUCCAGCAAGACUCAAUUAAGUCCACUUCAUCUGACAGUCCCUCUUUGAGACAUAUGUUGUAGCCACCCUGCUCUGAAUAGUCCACCUGGAUGGCUUACUGGUGAUGCAAAUCCUACAUGCAUUCAUUAUACUCAUUAUUUCCUCCUCAAAAACUGACCCACUGCAGUUAGAAAAGUCAGGACAGAGCCAGAUGGCCUGGAGGUGCCAGUCUCUUAAUGGUGCUAAAAUGUCCCUGGAAGCUAGCAAGUUGAAAGUAAUAUACUUACCCGAAUUCUUCUCAGGGAGACUACUGUAUGAUGUUAAAAGAAAUGUUAUCACAAGCUACUUGGUUGGAUGGAUGGUGGUGACUGGUGAGAGAGACUUUGUAUAGCAUUCUAGAGUGACAGUAAAUGGUUAUAAAAUCUCCACCCCCAAUGGGUGUACAUUGCAGAUGUAAUUAGUCAAGAUGACAUAAUGCUAGAGUAGGAUGAGCCCCUUAUGCAAUUUGACUGGUGUCCUUAUUAGAAGACAGAGAUACACAGGGAAAAUGCGAUGUGAAGGCAGAGACAGAGAUUGGAAUGAUGAGGAGCCCAGGAAUCCCAAGGACUGCUGCUGUCAUUCGAGUAAUUGCACAGGUUUUGUUUUGCUCAGUGAAGUAUUUAGGAGUUGGAGCAGAGCUAAAUUGCUCUGAGUAGUAGAGAAGAGGUGCAUCACUACCAGAGGAUCUUCCUUCUCCAAUCCUUCUAGAUCCUUCUAGAGGCCUUCAGCCUCUAUUCUAAAUAAGUGUUGAAUAUUUAAAGGAUAUAAUAGUCAAAUUCUUUAAAGAUCAGGCAUGUAUCAUAAGUAAAUCUAGAUGUAAGGUAAUAGGGCAUGAUUGAGUCUCUGAAAAAGUGGAGCAAAUGCCGUUUACUCUUUAGUAAAUACAUUUCCAUUCAAAUAUUUUAAAAUUGUGUCAGCCAAAAAUUAAAAUUGAAAAAUGCCCACCUUUGUGCUAGUCAGCUCAUGGUGGACUGCAGUUGGGAUUUCUGGAUUAUUUUUUGAAAGAGUGCCUUGUGAAUGUCUUACCCACGGUGUCUGCAGGACCCUGGCAGGCCCAGUUUGGAAUCCUACUCAAGCCCUUCUCCUCAUCUGUAAGAGUUAAGGCUACUUUGGCUGAAAUUGACAACUCUGUUUCUUAAAGCAGGGUGGAGGAAAACAUGAAGAUGAGUCAAAAAGGGCAUGUACACUGACCCUUAAGAAAGGUUUGCAGAAGAUACUGUCACACAACACUUCUACCUUCACUUCUUGGGCCCACAUUUAUCCAUGUGGCCACAGCUGGGAAAAGCAGCCUCCUUUCAGGGUGGAAAUGUGCCAGCUGGAAAUCAGAACUCCAUUAGCAUGGAAAUGAGAUGUCAUGGAUGAAUUGUGUCCCCCAACAAGAUAUGUUGAAGUUCUAACCCCCAGUACCUCAGAAUGUGGCAUUAUUUGGAAACAGGGAUAUUGCAGAUAUAAUUAGUCAAGAUGAUAUCAUACUGGAGUAAGAGACAUGGGAUUUGCCAUGAGAGAUGUCAGCACCAAGCUGCCCUGCCAAGUGCCAAAAGCCAGUUUAAAUUAUCUGUGACGCUAGCCAACUGAGAGCCCAGAGAACUCCAGCUUCCCUCGCCCGAGGUUUUUGUGUGAACAUAAACUUUCAAUUCAUUUGGAUAAACACCAGGGAACACAACUGCCAGAUCAUAUGUGGGACUACAGACUUACCAAAUCUAUUGUCUUGUGAAAGAACUAGCUUUUGGUUUGCUGAUUUUCUUUAUCGUUUUCCAUUUCAUUGAUUUCUACUCUAAUUUUUAUUAUUUCUUCUGCUUACUUAGUAUUUAAUUGGGUCUUCUUUUUCUAAUUAUCUAAUUUGAGAGCUUAGAUUACUGACUGAUUUUAAGUGUCUCUUCUUCCCUAAAUAUGUAUUUAAUACCAUAAAUGUCCCCCUAAGCACUGCUUUCCCUACAUUCCAUAAAUUUGGAUAAGUUGUACUUUCACUUUUUAUUUAGUUCAAAAUAUUUUUCAGUUUCUCUUGUGACUUCUUCUUUGACCCAUUUGUUGUUUAGAAUGUGUUGUUUACAAAAACUAUAAAAACUCUAGAAGAAAAUCUGCGCAAUACUAUUCAGGACAUAGGCACAGACAAAGAUUUCAU